CUGCUGUGGAACCAGGUGGGACAGAAACUUGGUCUCCACAGAGGUAACCAGCUGCAUGAAAGGUUAGCACUGGUUGAAAUUUAUUUCAGCAUAUAUAGAAAUGUCCAUGUGGUCACAAGAUGGCAGCAGCUGCUCCAGCCUACACCUCAAUUUAAAGCCAAAAGGAAGGGGGUGUUUUUCUUUCUGUUUAAAUAGUUCUUUCUGGUUGCUCAAGAAAAAGCCCUAAGAUUAACUCUGAUUUAUUCUGACUGACUUGGCCAGAUCUAAAUAUCUAUUCCUGGAUCAAUUUCUGCAGCCAGGGGAAUUCAGGGUUCUGAGUGGCAAAAGUAGGUCUUUUAUUCGAUCCCUGGAACUAUUAAUUAAGAUCUAAUUCAAA
rnacentral:lncRNA from 1 species